rnacentral:rRNA from 1 species
CAACCCUUGACAUCCCUAUCGCGAUUUCCAGAGAUGGAUAUCAUCAGUUCGGCUGGAUAGGUGACAGGUGCUGCAUGGCCGUCGUCAGCUCGUGUCGUGAGAUGUUGGGUUAAGUCCCGCAACGAGCGCAACCCCUGUUCCUAGUUGCCAGCAUUCAGUUGGGCACUCUAGGGAGACUGCCAGUGACAAGCCGGAGGAAGGCGGGGAUGACGUCAAGUCCUCAUGGCUCUUACGGGUUGGGCUACACACGUGCUACAAUGGUAACUACAGAGGGCAGCGACUUAGCGAUAAGUAGCGAAUCCCAAAAAGUUAUCUCAGUUCGGAUUGCACUCUGCAACUCGAGUGCAUGAAGUUGGAAUCGCUAGUAAUCGUGGAUCAGCAUGCCACGGUGAAUACGUUCCC